rnacentral:rRNA from 1 species
UACAGAGGGGGCAAGCGUUGUUCGGAAUUACUGGGCGUAAAGGGCGCGUAGGCGGCCUGUUAAGUCGAACGUGAAAUCCCCGGGCUCAACCUGGGAAUGGCAGUGGAAACUAGGGGACUGGAAUCUGGCAGAGGGGGGUGGAAUGCCGCGUGUAGCAGUGAAAUGCGUAGAGAUGCGGCGGAACACCGAUGGCGAAGGCAGCCCCCUGGGCUGAGAUUGACGCUCAGGCACGAAAGCGUGGGGAGCAAACAGG